rnacentral:rRNA from 1 species
AUUGAACGCUGGCGGCAGGCCUAACACAUGCAAGUCGAGCGGAUGAGGGGAGCUUGCUCCCUGAUUUAGCGGCGGACGGGUGAGUAAUGCCUAGGAAUCUGCCUGGUAGUGGGGGAUAACGUUCCGAAAGGAACGCUAAUACCGCAUACGUCCUACGGGAGAAAGCAGGGGACCUUCGGGCCUUGCGCUAUCAGAUGAGCCUAGGUCGGAUUAGCUAGUUGGUGAGGUAAUGGCUCACCAAGGCGACGAUCCGUAACUGGUCUGAGAGGAUGAUCAGUCACACUGGAACUGAGACACGGUCCAGACUCCUACGGGAGGCAGCAGUGGGGAAUAUUGGACAAUGGGCGAAAGCCUGAUCCAGCCAUGCCGCGUGUGUGAAGAAGGUCUUCGGAUUGUAAAGCACUUUAAGUUGGGAGGAAGGGCUGCUGGUUAAUACCCUGCAGUUUUGACGUUACCAACAGAAUAAGCACCGGCUAACUUCGUGC